UACGAAGGGGGCUAGCGUUGCUCGGAAUCACUGGGCGUAAAGGGUGCGUAGGCGGGUUUUUAAGUCAGGGGUGAAAUCCUGGAGCUCAACUCCAGAACUGCCUUUGAUACUGAAGAUCUCGAGUCCGGGAGAGGUGAGUGGAACUGCGAGUGUAGAGGUGAAAUUCGUAGAUAUUCGCAGGAACACCAGUGGCGAAGGCGGCUCACUGGCCCGGUACUGACGCUGAGGCACGAAAGCGUGGGGAGCAAACAGG
rnacentral:rRNA from 1 species